GACAGAGGUGGCGAGCGUUGUUCGGAAUUACUGGGCUUAAAGGGCGCGUAGGCGGUAAUACAAGUCUGGGGUGGAAUUCUACGGCUUAACUGUAGGACUGCCCUGGAAACUGUAUAACUUGAGUCGGACAGGGGAAGGCGGAAUUCCAGGUGUAGCGGUGAAAUGCGUAGAUAUCUGGAGGAAGGUCUGUGGCGAAGGCGGCCUUCUGGGUUUUGACUGACGCUGAGGCGCGAAAGCGUGGGGAGCAAACAGG
rnacentral:rRNA from 1 species